GAACCCUUGGCGCAGCGGUAGCGCGUGAGAUUCCAGAGCACGUCUCGCUGCAAGGCGGGUUGGUGUGAAAGGCUUCCUCAAGGUCAUCCGUUCAAAUCGGGUAGGGUUCA